UACGUAGGGGGCUAGCGUUGUCCGGAAUCAUUGGGCGUAAAGAGCGUGUAGGCGGUCCGGUAAGUCCGCUGUGAAAGUCGGGGGCUCAACCCUCGAAUGCCGGUGGAUACUGUCGGGCUAGAGUACGGAAGAGGCGAGUGGAAUUCCUGGUGUAGCGGUGAAAUGCGCAGAUAUCAGGAGGAACACCUAUUGCGAAGGCAGCUCGCUGGGACGUAACUGACACUGAGACGCGAAAGCGUGGGGAGCAAACAGG
rnacentral:rRNA from 1 species